UACGUAGGAUGCAAGCGUUGUCCGGAUUCAUUGGGCGUAAAGGGUGCGUAGGCGGCGCGGUAAGUCGGGUGUGAAAUCUUGGAGCUUAACUCCGAAACUGCAUUCGAUACUGCCGUGCUUGAGGACUGGAGAGGAGACUGGAAUUUACGGUGUAGCGGUGAAAUGCGUAGAUAUCGUAAGGAAGACCAGUGGCGAAGGCGGGUCUCUGGACAGUUCCUGACGCUGAGGCACGAAGGCCAGGGGAGCAAACGGG
rnacentral:rRNA from 1 species